GGGCGCAUGGCGCAGUUGGUUAGCGCAUUUGCUUGACAUGCAAAAGGUCAUAGGUUCGAGUCCUAUUGCGCCCACCA
rnacentral:tRNA from 1 species